CCGUCGAUAGCUCAGUAGGUAGAGCGUUGGACUGUUUAGGCUUCUUCCUUGUGGAGAAGCCUUAACAUAGGUCCAAAGGUCGCUGGUUCAAGUCCUGCUCGACGGA
rfam:Ixodes scapularis strain Wikel colony gcontig_1108378930322, whole genome shotgun sequence.